CUACGGGUGGCAGCAGUGAGGAAUAUUGGGCAAUGGGCGAAAGCCUGACCCAGCCACGCCGCGUGAGUGAUGAAGGCCUUCGGGUUGUAAAGCUCUGUGGGGAGAGAAGAAAAAGCGGGAGAGUAACUGCUCUCGUGUUGACGGUAUCUCCUUAGCAAGCACCGGCUAACUCUGUGCCAGCAGCCGCGGUAAUACAGAGGGUGCAAACGUUGCUCGGAAUUACUGGGCGUAAAGCGCGUGUAGGCUGACAUGCAAGUCGGGUGUGAAAUCCCAGGGCUCAACCUUGGAACUGCAUUCGAACUGCAUGUCUUGAGUACUGGAGAGGGAAGCGGAAUUCCGGGUGUAGAGGUGAAAUUCGUAGAUAUCCGGAGGAACACCAGUGGCGAAGGCGGCUUCCUGGACAGUUACUGACGCUGAGACGCGAAAGCGUGGGGAGCAAACAGGAUUAGAUACCCUGGUAGUC
rnacentral:rRNA from 1 species